GGAAUCGUAGCUCAAUGGUAGAGCUCCAAGCUUAUACCUUGGUGGUUGAAGGUUCGAGUCCUUCCGAUUCCA
rnacentral:tRNA from 1 species